AAAAAAAUAGAAGAAAAGA
rnacentral:sRNA from 1 species